GACGAACGCUGGCGGCGUGCCUAAUACAUGCAAGUUGAGCGAUGAAGAUUGGUGCUUGCACCAAUUUGAAGAGCAGCGAACGGGUGAGUAACGCGUGGGGAAUCUGCCUUUGAGCGGGGGACAACAUUUGGAAACGAAUGCUAAUACCGCAUAACAACUUUAAACAUAAGUUUUAAGUUUGAAAGAUGCAAUUGCAUCACUCAAAGAUGAUCCCGCGUUGUAUUAGCUAGUUGGUGAGGUAAAGGCUCACCAAGGCGAUGAUACAUAGCCGACCUGCGAGGGUGAUCGGCCACAUUGGGACUGAGACACGCCCCAAACUCCUACGGGAGGCAGCAGUAGGGAAUCUUCGGCAAUGGACGAGAGUCUGAGCGAGCAACGCCGCGUGAGUGAAGAAGAUUUUCGGAUCGUAAAACUCUGUUGGUAGAGAAGAACGUUGGUGAGAGUGGAAAGCUCAUCAAGUGACGGUAACUACCCAGAAAGGGACGGCUAACUACGUG
rnacentral:rRNA from 1 species